CCCCAUCAUCUGUCCCCGUGAUAGUCAGGAAACCCUUGUCCCGCCCGGGGGGUCAUCACACCGCAUCAACCUGCCUGAACCACAGGACACAGGAAGAUUGGACAGCCUGGCGUCAAGGGUCCUGUGCUUUGGGGGCACCAUACAGCCAGCCUCCCUGGGAUCUUGCCACCUCCUUGGGUUGUAACCACAGACUGGUGCAUAGCUGCCCACUCACUUUCCAGGAAUCCGCAGCCCUCUCCCCCUACCAGCCCUGGGACGUUGUUUCUCCUUGUGCUGCUUCUCCCAGUCACCCUGCAACCCCAGCCCACCCUCAGCACUCCUGUAACAAAGCCGCCAACAGAUGGGGCAGACAGGCAACUUCUACCCCGCUCCCACCUACCAAGAUUCCCUGUGACCAGGAUGUGGAGAGCCUCAGCUCCUGCUUCCAUGGGCAAGGGGAAGUGGUAACCCACCAGAAGGAAACCCCAACGCAAAAAGGUAUCCUUCCUCCUUUCCGAGAGCCCUCCCUGGCCUCCAGAACACGUUGCUGUGUCUCUUCAGACCCUACCGUCGCCCCGGUAACCCUCAGUGCCAGGGCUCUGUAUCUGUGUGCUCCGUGUCUGUGUCACCCAGCAGACUGGAGCUCCUUGGGUGAGGAGCCUGACUCAGGGCCCACCUCAGCAUGUUUAUUGAGACUGGGAGAAGGAACAAAUAAACAAGUUACUGUGCCUUUUAGUAUAUGCAGGCAAGCCGUCUAUACUUAGAGAAUCUGUUCUGGGUCUUGAAGAACUCUGAAACAUUCAGGAAAAAAAUAUCUGCUCUUGCUUGGGAAACGACUAGAAAGCCCAGCUCAUCUGGGCUAGAAGGAAGGAAUCCGGUAUUGGUCCUGGCCCUGACAUAAAGAAAAAAGAAAGGAAAGCAAAAGGAAGUGCACAUGUUCUAAAGGAGUAGAAGUUAGAACGCAGGCAGUCGGCAGAUAAUGCGUCGUUUUCACUGUCCGUGUUCCAGGUAAUGGCGCUUAAAUGACUGCAGGGAUUCAGGGGUUCAGCCCUGAGUGAUGCCAGCUCUGAGCUCCGGAAGGAAACCUGCCGUCUGAGGUGUGGGAGCAACAUCCACACGGGCUGCUGCUCUCCACGCUCAGAAUAGCCGCCAUGGCUUCGUCCCCAGCACCCGUGCUCCCCCGGCGGUUUGAAAAAUAGGUCCACAAAUUCUCUACCAGCCUCCCUUCAAGAGGUGGAGCCCAUUCUCCUUUGAGUGAGGCUGGGGCUAGUGACUUGUUUUUAACAAAUCGGACGCAGUGGAAUAAAGUGUGGGACUUCUGAGACAAGGUCAUGAAAAGGCACUGAAGGGUCCUGCUGGCCCUCGCUCUCUCACAGCCCACCCAUAUUGGGGGAAGCCAGAUGCCCUGAUGAACACCCCAUGAGGAAGACCCACCUGGUGGGGAACUGGGUCCUCAGCCAACAGCCACUAAACAGCUGGGAAGAGGAUUUUCCAGCCCCAGGUCAGCCUUCAAAUGACUGUCUCAUCCCAGCCCACACCUUGGGUGCGACUUCAUGAGAGACAUUGAGCCAGAACCACGCACCUAAGCUGCUCCCAGAUUCUUGACCUUGGAAACUGUGUGAGAUAAUAAAUUUUUGUUAUUUU
rnacentral:lncRNA from 1 species